UAUAGCAGAGACAGGUGUGUGCAAGUCUCAGACAGGGGGACAGUUGUGUGCAGGUCUCAGGGGGACAGGUGUGUGCAGGUCUCAGGUAGAGGGACAGAUGUGCACAGCCCUCUGAUAGCAGGGACAAGUGUGUACAGGUCUCAGACAGGGACAGGUGUGUGCAGGUCUCAGGUAGAGGGACAGAUGUGUACAGCCCUCUGAUAGCAGGGACAGGUGUGUACAGGUCUCAGACGGGGACAGGUGUGUGCAGUUCUCAGGACAGGUGUGCACAGCUCUCUGAUAGCAGAGACAGGUGUGUGCAGGUCUCAGGCAGUGAGAACAGGUGAGUACAUGUGUCUGGUAGCAGGGACAGGUGUGUGCAGGUCUCAAGCAGUGAGGACAGGUGAGUGCAGGUCUCUGAUAGCAAGGACAGGUGUGUGCAGGUCUCAGGCUGUGAGGACAGGUGAGUGCAGGUGUCUGGUAGCAGGGACAGGUGAGUGCAGGUCUCUGAUAGCAGGGACAGGUGUGUGCAGGUCUCAGGCUGUGAGGACAGGUGAGUGCAGGUGUCUGGUAGCAGGGACAGGUGAGUGCAGGUCUCUGAUAGCAGGGACAGGUGUGUGCAGGUCUCAGGCUGUGAGGACAGGUGAGUGCAGGUGUCUAGUAGCAGGGACAAGUGUGUGCAGGUCUCAGGCAGUGAGGACAGGUGAGUGCAGGUCUCUGAGAGCAGGGACAGGUGUGUUCAUACCAGAGUCAAGAGGGAGUCUAUUGUGGCUGAGAGUGCUGUGGCCAGCUGAGGAAGGGACACAGGUGGGUCGGCACUGCUGGCCCCGGGCACACGCACAGGAGGUGGCCUCGGGAGACGCCCGUCUCUGCUGAGGCCAGAGGGUGGGAGGCGUGGAGGAGCUCCUGGGUGGCCGUAGGGCCUCCAUGGCUGUUGGAGUCCAGUCCCCGGACGAUGGGUGGACGCCCGCCCCACACUGGCCGCCCGCCCUGACUUUGGAGGGAGGCAGGAAGCGCCUAUUCCCUUCAUCGCCACCAGCCUGGCCCGUAUCUGGCCC